GGCUGGUUCCCCAACAUGCCUCACCCUCAUCUAUAUCCUUUGGCAGCUCACAGGGUCAGCAGCCUCUGGACCCGUGAAAGAGCUGGUCGGUUCCGUUGGUGGGGCCGUGACUUUCCCCCUGAAGUCCAAAGUAAAGCAAGUUGACUCUAUUGUCUGGACCUUCAACACAACCCCUCUUGUCACCAUACAGCCAGAAGGGGGCACUAUCAUAGUGACCCAAAAUCGUAAUAGGGAGAGAGUAGACUUCCCAGAUGGAGGCUACUCCCUGAAGCUCAGCAAACUGAAGAAGAAUGACUCAGGGAUCUACUAUGUGGGGAUAUACAGCUCAUCACUCCAGCAGCCCUCCACCCAGGAGUACGUGCUGCAUGUCUACGAGCACCUGUCAAAGCCUAAAGUCACCAUGGGUCUGCAGAGCAAUAAGAAUGGCACCUGUGUGACCAAUCUGACAUGCUGCAUGGAACAUGGGGAAGAGGAUGUGAUUUAUACCUGGAAGGCCCUGGGGCAAGCAGCCAAUGAGUCCCAUAAUGGGUCCAUCCUCCCCAUCUCCUGGAGAUGGGGAGAAAGUGAUAUGACCUUCAUCUGCGUUGCCAGGAACCCUGUCAGCAGAAACUUCUCAAGCCCCAUCCUUGCCAGGAAGCUCUGUGAAGAGAACAAUCCUAAAGGAAGAUCCAGCAAAUACGGUUUACUCCACUGUGGAAAUACCGAAAA
rnacentral:lncRNA from 1 species